GAGCAGACCCACACCAUCAGCAGCCAGCUCAGCAUCGUGGCCAGGGUAAAAGCAGUCACUGCAGAGAGCAAGUCAUCUUCUGAGCUGCUUGUGAGCAACGCGCAGAACCUAAUUCAAGCAGUUUUGCAUGUUCUAAAGGCAGCUGAGGCAGCAUGUGUCAAAGGUCUGCAACAGCCUCCGCCUGACUCUGAAGAAGCAGAAGUAGCUGCUUUUUGCAUUGAAUGGAGAAAAAACCUGUUGUGGCAUAGAGCCAAGGAGUCUUUAAACUCAGACAGGGAUGAAUUAGGCCUCCGCAAGACUCAGGCAAGGCCUGAACCCACCCUCGCAGCUCUGGUUCAAAAACAAUCACCUCAGACCAAGAACAUCACCAGGCAUCCAAAAGCUGUUAAAGGACAAACAACUACGGACAGCCACCCCCAAGAAUAGGAGGGGACUUUUGC
rnacentral:lncRNA from 1 species